rnacentral:lncRNA from 1 species
GCUGUCACCUGGAAGGGCAAAGAAAACAAACAGCUUCUGGCUGGCUGUGUGGACUGCCCCUGUGAAAGAGGAGUGCAAGCCCCGCCUGCUUUGUGUCCCCUUCCCAAGUCUCUGGGAAUCUGUCAUCCAGUGUGGUCUGUAGUGAUCUGCUGGGAUGCAGCUCAUUGUGAAAGCCUCGGGUCCACCCUGAGUACCACCACCCACCCCCAAAAAAGAGAAAAACAGAAAGGAAAGGACAUUUGGACAAAGGAAAUAUGCCAUGAGAGAAGAAAGGAAAGAAAGAGAAGUUCCUUUCUGGAUCUUACUUUCUUGAAGGAAGACAGCAGGCAACAGACCAUUGUAAUGUCAGCUAGUGACAACAGAUGGAGAGUGUGGUCUCCAGGCUCCAAGACGCUUCCCCCAAUGGGCAGCCUCCCUGUGGAGGCACAGUACUGUAUCAUGGACAGAGGCAGUAACACAGGGACUGCAGAAUUCAACCUACGCUCGAGUCCUCGUUCUAUAUAUUGACUGUAGCAUCAAUAAAUCCUUGAAUGUUUUUGAG